ACAGCAGUGUACAGCUGCAGUCGUCGGCGCGUUGUCCGUUUGCGUAAAAGUCCGUUCGGGUGCAGCGGUCGUUUCGUGGUCUGGUUCGAGAGAAUAUAUCGGCCGACCGACGCGCGCGAUAUCCGUCAGGAAAAUAACGCCGGCCGGUCACGGGUUCAUGAUAUUAAAUUAAUAAUACUUACAUCAUAAUAUUUAAAUAUUUUCCCGAGAGACGACCGCGUUCGCGUGUUUGAUACCCCGGACGUGUUCUGUCUCGUACAGUCAAAACACGUAUUCCGCCGCGGCGAAAACCGUCAUGAAAGUACAACACGCCGAGGAAGCGUUCGGCUCGUCGGCCGGACGCUAUGGCGGCGUUGCGACCGACACGUCUGCGGCUAUCCAGGGGUCGUGCCCGAGACGUGAAGACGUCGGUAACAGCGGUACGUGUUCCGAUAGGUCCGCGGCUGCAAAAACCGCGGCCACCGCAACAAUCAAUCGCAGUGACACGGCCACGACUGCCGCCGCGGUUGGCCGUGUCGACGACGACUGUAAGAACUGUACGGCCGAACAGCGACGCGUCCGAAAACCUCGCCGCCGGUCCGGAUCGUGGCCGAGAACGCGGUCGCUGAACGCUCCCAGCCCGGUCCAGCAGUUUGGACCAUGUGGCCGUAUCAUGAAAACCUCUGCGUUGGUCACGACAAUUCAAGAUCCGGCCAGUCAACGUUUGACGUGGGCCAAAAAUCCUCUGUCUGUGUUGGUGAUAAAAAAAGUUAGAGAUAUGUCUGUUUUACCACCGUUCAUAGAACUCGUCAGAUGGCUGACACAGGAAAAAAGCAUGAUAGUGUUUGUGGAACAUUCUGUGAUGGAAGACACAAUGCUCUCUAGUAAUUCGGGCUUCAUGGAAAUACGAGAGAAAUUAAAUUCUUUUCAAGAUAGCAAAGAUGAUCUAACGGACAAAAUAGACUUCAUAAUUUGCUUAGGUGGAGACGGUACUUUGCUCUACGCUAGUCUUUUGUUUCAGAAAUCCGUACCACCAGUUAUGGCGUUCCACUUGGGCUCUCUUGGUUUUUUGACGCCUUUUAAGUUUGACAAUUUCCAACAGCAAGUGACCAAUGUACUUGAAGGACAUGCUGCUUUAACAUUACGUAGUAGACUUAGGUGCAUAAUUGUUAAGAAGAAUGAAGACAAAGAUAAGCCUCAGCCAAAUUUACUAGUACUUAAUGAAGUGGUUAUUGAUCGCGGACCAUCGCCAUACCUUUCAAACAUUGACUUGUUUUUAGACAGAAAAUACAUAACAUCUGUUCAAGGAGAUGGUUUGAUUAUCUCAACACCAACUGGAAGUACAGCAUAUGCAGUUGCAGCAGGUGCAUCAAUGAUUCACCCAAGUGUUCCAGCCAUCAUGGUGACACCCAUAUGCCCUCAUUCUUUGUCUUUCAGGCCAAUAGUAGUACCAGCUGGUGUUGAACUAAGUCUUACAAGUAACUACAUCUAUAUAUUCGUUACCAUCAAUAUGUGCUCAAGACCAAAUAUCUGAUUGGUUUGAUUCAUUGGCUGAAUGUCUACAUUGGAAUGUGCGAAAACGACAGAAGCAUUUUGAAGAAUUAUCUGAUCUGGCGCAUUGCAAGUAUGAGGAUUCACUAAAUUCAACAUCGAAAGACACUUUAUUAGUUACGGACUAGCAGGGUAUAAUCAAUGAAGUUCAACAUUAACCAACAGAUACCUUAUCCUUUAGUCGAUAAUCACCUGUACUACCAUCGGUGCUUACAAAUGGAUUUCAAAAUUGUGCAAAAUAAAUUUUUUUAUAAUUAUUAUUAUUAUUAUUAUUAUUAUUAUUAUUGUCUUGUAAGUACCUGUAGAAGGUAUACAUUUAUGUGUUUCUGCCGCUCGUGAUUAAAAUUACCUAUUUAUCAUUUAAUUAUAGUUUUGGUACUGAAGUUGUAGUUUUGACAAAUUAAUAUUAUGUAUCUGUUUAACAUUAUCGGUGAAGUAGAUGUAUUUUAAUUGAUAAUAAUCAGUUUAUGUACAGAACAACAUAAAUAUUUUAGUCAUUAAAUAAAAAAAUAAGUCUUUAAUGUAAGAGUAAUUUAUUCUUGGUUAUUAGAAUGCUCCAAUUUGAUUUUUUACCCAUGUAUACAAUUUCUUCCAUUUUUAAGAUGAAAUUUAAAUUGUAAUUUGUUUUUGAUAUUGUUAAAAACGCAAAUAUUUAUGUUUAUUAUUAUUAUUAUUUUUAGCUCAACAUUUGUAUAAAUUACAAAAAUUUUAAUUGUUUUUUAUUUAUUUAAAAACAAAAUUAUUUAUUAAUGACUAAGAGUAUACAUUAAGUAAUAUAUUAUCAUAUAAUUUCAUAAA
rnacentral:misc_RNA from 1 species